rnacentral:rRNA from 1 species
CGAAUGGGGCAAGCGUUGUUCGGAAUCACUGGGCUUAAAGCGUACGCAGGCGGUCUAGCAAGUCAGAAGUGAAAGCCCAGGGCUUAACCCUGGAAUUGCUUUUGAAACUGCCAGACUAGAAUCCGAGAGAGGUUGGCGGAAUUCCGAGUGUAGAGGUGAAAUUCGCAGAUAUUCGGGGGAACACCAGUGGCGAAGGCGGCCAACUGGAUCGGUAUUGACGCUCAUGUACGAAAGCGUGGGGAUCAAACAGGAUUAGAUACCCUGGUAGUCCACGCUGUAAACGAUGUGUGCUAGUUGUCGGAGGCGUCAGCCCCCGGUGACGCAGGGAAACCUUUAAGCACACCGCCUGGGGAGUACGGUCGCAAGAUUA